CGGGAGCGGGGGGUGGGGGGGAUGGCGAGGAGGCUCCGCGCCGCCAUGGCCUGCUGCUGCUCCAGCCCCUGCCUGAGGGGCUGCCCGCCGGCGUGAGCCCGCCCAGGCCGAGGGAGCUUGUCAAGAUACUGAUUUGCUAAAUAUACUGGAGUGGGACAGAGAGUGACUUGAGCAGGAAAAGGAUUUUAUCAAUGAAAGAAGAUAGUUCACAGAAGGAGGUGGUGGAGGAUUGCCAACAGGAACUGCAUGUCUUCUCUGUCCAGAAGAUGAGGCCAUUCUGUUGCAUAAAUUAUCCACUGUGACAGCCAUCCCACUGAUUGUGGGCAGAAAAUCCGUCCCACGGAGCCUGCUGUAAAAGCACCUUUUAGAGCUGAGCUAAACAAGAAUUGGGAGUGACUGGUGUGGAAUGAAAGGGUAAAAUGGUGGCUGAGGUCAGACUGAGCCAGGAGGUAGGGGAAGGGCUGGAGGAGGUGAUGGGCAGAGUAUGGGGAUGUUGCAAAGACUGAACAAAACCUUUGAAGAAGGCAGUGUCUUCAAGGCCAGGACACUGGGCUGACUUCAUCACAUCCUGCUCAUCAAUUGUAAUUGUAAAAUUACCAAACUCCCCCCUCUUGUGGGGGUAGGAAAGACUUUUCUUGAGAUACUAUCUGAAAGACCUUUAUUCUGCUUGGAAAGCAUGUAAGGAAGCUACCUGAAUGCAUGUGAAGGUCAUGACUCAUGUCUGGGUCUCCUGUGUGAUGAAUUCCCCCUUUUCUUACUGGUUGUCUCAUUUGUUGGUCUGCAGACUGCUUUUCGAACAGUGAAUGCUGAAGAGGAGGAGUAUGUCUGUAUUGUGUUGUCUUCAAAUUACCUUGUCGUUUUGACUUCUGUCUUUUUAGAAGAUGCAGACUUCACAAACAGCUUGCAUUUGACUCUCCAGUCUCCUGUGAUCUGAACUUAGAUAAAACAGGCUUGCAGACAUCUGUCAUUGCUGAUUGUCUCCAUUUACUGACACUUAUCACCUGGACUCCAACAGAGCCUGUCUUAAAUCACCCUGUCAAAAAUAAGAGCUC